CACAUGGAGGAAUCAAGUGCUGUUUGUCCCAGCUCGAGGCCAUCAUAGAUCAUCUUUCAACUGCUGACCCCCAGACACGUGACAUUCCUGCCCUUGGAUGGAGGGUCACAGCUGUUUCCUUGCCAGAGAGAUAUUCAGUUUCAAGUGCAGUGGCUUUUAAAUUAUAUCACCUUCCUGGGCAGUACUGCAGGGGCCCAGCUUUGAUCCCUGCUCAGGGAACUAGAUCCCACAUGCUGCAAUGAAGAGUUUGCAUGCCAUCACUAAAGAUCCUGGAUGCUGCAACAGAGCUGGAAGAACCUGUGUGCCACACCUAAGACGAGGACUGGACCUGUGGGUUGCCGUGUGUGUACAUCUGCAGCUUUGAUAGAUCUUGCCAAAUUAUUCUGCAAAGAGAUUGCACCAAUUCCCAUAUCCACUUCUUGAAUAUUCCAGCAAGUUUUCCUUUCUGAGGGCUCAAAUUGAAGAACAGAAAAGAGAAAUACAAUCCAAAAUGGUUUAAACAGCAGUGAUGCCUUUCGUGGCAGAGGUCGGUUGGGACCCGCACAGUCCUCCAUCAAGGAUGCAGCUGGGCUCAGACUUGGAGCCACGGAGCCAGGCUGUGGUGGAGGAGAGCACCUGGGGUAGGCCUGAGGAGUGCACAGCCAGCUGGAGAAGAGGGAGAGAACCUCUCCAAGGAACAGCCCUGGGAACAAGGUCCCAUGAAGCUCAGAAGUAUCAG